ACAUUUCGGUGUGGCGAAGCUGAGAACUUAAGCGCCAGUAAACGGCGGUGGUAACUAUAACCAUCCUAAGGUAGCGAAAUUCCUUGUCGGGUAAGUUCCGACCUGCACGAAUGGCGUAACGACUUCUCGACUGUCUCAACCAUAGGCCCGGUGAAAUUGCAUUACGAGUAAAGAUGCUCGUUUCGCGCAGCAGGACGGAAAGACCCCGGGACCUUUACUACAGUUUGAUAUUGGUGUUCGGUUCGGCUUGUGUAGGAUAGGUGGGAGACUGUGAAGCAUGCACGCCAGUGUGUGUGGAGUCGUCGUUGAAAUACCACUCUGGUCGUGCUGGAUGUCUAACCUGGGUCCGUGAUCCGGAUCAGGGACAGUGUCUGAUGGGUAGUUUAACUGGGGCGGUUGCCUCCUAAAGAGUAACGGAGGCGCCCAAAGGUUCCCUCAGCCUGGUUGGUAAUCAGGUGUUGAGUGUAAGUGCACAAGGGAGCUUGACUGUGAGACCGACGGGUCGAGCAGGGACGAAAGUCGGGACUAGUGAUCCGGCGGUGGCUUGUGGAAGCGCCGUCGCUCAACGGAUAAAAGGUACCCCGGGGAUAACAGGCUGAUCUUCCCCAAGAGUCCAUAUCGACGGGAUGGUUUGGCACCUCGAUGUCGGCUCGUCGCAUCCUGGGGCUGGAGUCGGUCCCAAGGGUUGGGCUGUUCGCCCAUUAAAGCGGUACGCGAGCUGGGUUUAGAACGUCGUGAGACAGUUCGGUCCCUAUCCGCUGUGCGCGUAGGAAUAUUGAGAAGGGCUGUCCCUAGUACGAGAGGACCGGGACGGACGAACCUCUGGUGUGCCAGUUGUUCUGCCAAGGGCAUGGCUGGUUGGCUACGUUCGGGAGGGAUAACCGCUGAAAGCAUCUAAGCGGGAAGCCUGCUUCGAGAUGAGUAUUCCCACCUCCUUGAGAGGGUAAGGCUCCCAGUAGACGACUGGGUUGAUAGGCCGGAUAUGGAAGCCCUGUAAGGGGUGGAGUUGACCGGUACUAAUAGGCCGAGGGCUUGUCCUCAGUUG
rnacentral:rRNA from 1 species